GCCCUGGUGGUGCAAUGGUUAAGCACUCGGCUGCUAACCAAAAUGUUGGUGGUUCAAACCCACCCAGCAGCU
rfam:Loxodonta africana unplaced genomic scaffold scaffold_33, whole genome shotgun sequence.